rnacentral:rRNA from 1 species
GACGAACGCUGGCGGCGUGCUUAACACAUGCAAGUCGAACGAAGAGCGAUGGAAGCUUGCUUCUAUCAAUCUUAGUGGCGAACGGGUGAGUAACGCGUAAUCAACCUGCCCUUCAGAGGGGGACAACAGUUGGAGACGACUGCUAAUACCGCAUACGAUCUAAUCUCGGCAUCGAGGAUAGAUGAAAGGUGGCCUCUACAUGUAAGCUAUCACUGAAGGAGGGGAUUGCGUCUGAUUAGGUAGAUGGAGGGGUAACGGCCCACCAAGGCGAUGGUCAGUAGCCGGUCGGAGAGGAUGAGCGGCCACAUUGGGACUGAGACACGGCCCAGACUCCUACGGGAGGCAGCAGUGGGGAAUCUUCCGCAAUGGACGAAAGACUGACGGAGCAACGCCGCGUGAGUGAUGACGGCCUUCGGGUUGUAAAGCUCUGUUAAUCGGGACGAAAGGCCUUCUUGCGAAUAGUGAGAAGGAUUGACGGUACCGGAAUAGAAAGCCACGGCUAACUACGUG